rnacentral:rRNA from 1 species
GAUGAACGCUGGCGGCGUGCCUAAUACAUGCAAGUCGAGCGAACAGACGAGGAGCUUGCUCCUCUGACGUUAGCGGCGGACGGGUGAGUAACACGUGGAUAACCUACCUAUAAGACUGGGAUAACUUCGGGAAACCGGAGCUAAUACCGGAUAAUAUAUUGAACCGCAUGGUUCAAUAGUGAAAGACGGUUUUGCUGCCACUUCUAGCUGGAUCCGCGCCGCAUUAGCUAGUUGGUAAGGUCACGGCUUACCAAGGCAACGAUGCGUAGCCGACGUCAGAGGGUGAUCGCCCACACUGGAACUUGGCCAGGGUCCAUACUCCUACGGGAGGCAGCAGUAGGGAAUCUUCCGCAAUGGGCGAAAGCCUGACGGAGCAACGCCGCGUGAGUGAUGAAGGUCUUCGGAUCGUAAAACUCUGUUAUUAGGGAAGAACAAAUGUGUAAGUAACUAUGCACGUCUUGACGGUACCUAGUCAGAAAGCCACGGCUAACUACGCG